ANUGAACGCUGGCGGCAGGCUUAACNCAUGCAAGUCGNGCGGUAACAGGGGAGCUUGCUCCUGCUGACGAGCGGCGGACGGGUGAGUAACGCGUAGGAAUCUACCUAGUAGAGGGGGACAACAUGUGGAAACGCAUGCUAAUACCGCAUACACCCUAAGGGGGAAAGGAGGGGACUCUUCGGAGCCUUCCGCUAUUAGAUGAGCCUGCGUGAGAUUAGCUAGUUGGUAGGGUAAAGGCCUACCAAGGCGACGAUCUCUAACUGGUCUGAGAGGAUGACCAGUCACACUGGGACUGAGACACGGCCCAGACUCCUACGGGAGGCAGCAGUGGGGAAUAUUGGACAAUGGGCGGAAGCCUGAUCCAGCCAUGCCGCGUGUGUGAAGAAGGCCUUAGGGUUGUAAAGCACUUUCAGGGGUGAGGAAGGGUAACUGGCUAAUAUCCAGUUAUCUUGACGUUAGCCCCAGAAGAAGCACCGGCUAACUCUGUGCCAGCAGCCNCGGGUAAUA
rnacentral:rRNA from 1 species